UCUCGUGCAGUGUAUCAGACGUUUCUUAUGAGAGGAGGCAGAAGAUCCACUCCACUAGUGAGAAACAGAGUCAGAGGCAACCAGGAGGGGAUUCUUUGGUGUGGUUUUUUUUUUUUUUUAUGCAAGUGGGGUGACGAGAAAGACCCUCCCUCCCCCCUCUCUGUGGGUCAUCCAGUGGGAGAAGAUGAAGAGCCAAAUCACCAGUUGCCUCUCUGACUUCCUCUUUGAGUAUGAGACCCCUCGCCAGGUGCUGGUGAGGAACAGAAGGGUGGGAGUGGUGUGCCGGCUGAUCCAGCUGGGGGUUCUGGUUUACAUCAUUGGGUGGGUUUUCAUCUAUGAGAAAGGUUACCAGUCCACAGACACUGCGAUCAGCUCUGUCUUUACCAAAAUGAAAGGAGUGGGCUACACCAACGUGAGUGGGAAAGAGAGAGUCUGGGAUGUGGCCGACUACGUCUUCCCUUCUCAGGGAGACUCAUCUUUUGUCGUAAUGACUAAUUACAUCAUAACUGAAGGCCAGGCGAUGGGAAAGUGUCCAGAGCUCAAAGGCAACUGCAGCACACAUGCUGACUGUGAGGAAGGGAGAUUUAAACGUACGGGAGACGGACAUAUGACUGGAGUCUGUGUGAAAGCCACAAACACCUGUGAAGUGCUGGCUUGGUGCCCAGUGGAGAAUGAUGAAGAAAUACCCGAUCCUCCUCUCUUGAUGUCUGCAGAGAACUAUACACUGUUCAUCAAAAAUUCUGUAACUUUCCCGUUAUUUGGCGUCACAAGGAGUAACCUGGUGGAAGGUAUAAAUAGUAACUACAUUAGUAACUGCCUGUAUCAUCCUAACGAUUAUCCACUUUGUCCAAUAUUUAAACUGGGAGACAUAGUUAAACUGUCUGACUUCAACUUUACAAAAAUAGCUCUUCAGGGAGGAGCUAUUGGUAUCGUGGUUGACUGGACAUGUAACUUUGAUUGGGAUGUAAAACACUGUAAACCAGAGUAUAGAUUUCAUGGUCUGUAUGGAAACCCUCAUGAGAUGGACAAAGCCAGAGCAUCACUGGGCUACAACUUCAGGUAUGCAAAACAUUAUGUGGAGAAUACAGUUCCAAAGAGAACCCUCAUAAAGGUGUUUGGCAUCAGGAUUGAUAUCAUUGUGCAGUCACUGGCAAGAAAAUUUGAUAUAAUCCCAACAUUAACAGCUAUAGGCUCUGGAGUGGGAAUCUUUGGGGUGGCUACCGUAGUUUGUGACUUGGUGUUGCUCUAUUUGCUGCCAAAAAGGGAAUUUUACAAGAACAUGAAAUUCAAAUAUACAGAGACACAAACGCAGCAGGACAGCGAGUCGCUCGGUUUAGACUCAAGCAUCUAUUACACCCUUGAAGCAAAUGCAAGACAAGUCCAAGACAAGGACAAGUCCAACGUGAGUGUAUCACGGUGUUUGGGCAGUAGAGCAGAUCCUCUUGAUUUUAAGUGUUCCAUCAUGAUGAAAAGGGUUGUUUUGCACAUUGCAUUAGAAGUGUAAAUGGCUCCUUUCCUCUACUCUAGGAUCCCGACUCAGAUGCAGAAAAUACAGAAUAUGAGGUAACUAAAAAGAAAGAGAAGGGAAAUGGGAGCAAACAAGCUGAUGACCAUGCUGCUUUUUAAAGAUGCAAAGGACAGGAACCCUGAAAGAAAACACACUCUCUCUCUAAAUGGACUUGAGACCAGAAAUGACACAGCCAGAGUGUUUCUUUAUCCGUAGCUGCAUCUUCAACUGAGAAUAUUCAAUCUAAAAGCCAUCUCAAGUGGCUGUGAUUCUUGCUGUUGUGUGUGGAGGGACACAGAAAACCACUAUAUGUGUACUUUUUUUGGGUGUUGCUCACUUGUAUAUACUAUUUAUGUUUCUUCAACCCCUUUUAACCGUUUCUGCAUACAAACAUCUGAAAAAGGAAUAUUUAACACAUAAGUGUUCCUUUGUACACAAGUAAUACCUCUGUCAUUGUCUUUGUCAUUGUAGAAACCUAUGCAGGUUGUGUUUGGGUUGGUUUGUGUUACUAGAAUGAGUAAUCCCAUGUGUGUAAACCAAAUAAAAGUAACAUCAGUAACACCAGCACUUCUGCGUUUAUAAAGUGGCAAGAAACAAAAUAUGUCAAAAGUUUUCAGAUGUUCUUUUUAUUGUCUUUGAUUAUGUUCAGGAAUACAAAAAGCAUGCAAAAAAAUAGCUUAUUUAUAUUGGUACAUAUUUACACUGUAACAACUGCUUUCCACAGGGAUGUGCCAUGCUUCUGUUUUAGAGAUUCAGUGAGUACAUUCAGAUAUGCACAAGACAACAUGAGACAAACACCCAUAAAAACACAGAGACAGCAGGCACCUUUGACACACGUCAGGACAUGAUACACAGCAGUGAUCCAAGACCCCCUGACGUCAUAUAAUGUACACACUUCCUUCCUUCCUUAUAUAUAAAAUGAGUCCUGCUACUUGCUCCUUGUGCUUGCAGCUGUAACAACUGCACCUAUUUUCCUCCUGCAUAUCACUGCAGAAAUGAUACAAAGCUAAAGAGCAUUUAAUGUGAGAGCAAACCUCAGUGGAGGAUAUGCAAUGCAGAACAUUUGAGCCUGUGUAUCUGCAACAAACAGUGAAGGAGAAUCACCGGAAACAUGUACUCAUUUAGGCUUUACAAGGAUGAAUUGUGUGAUACUCCCAAGUUAUAUCCACUGAAAUGUAAUGAGUGUUAUAUAAAUAUAAAAAUGAAAGAUUCUUAUAAAUAUUAUCAACAGAAAUUGGCAAAAAAGAUAAAAAAAACAUUACUGAAUGUGAAAUGGUUACAGGAGUGAUAUCUAAUUCCCUGGAUGUCUUAAUCUGGUAUGCAUUUCCUCAACAUCUAUAAAUAUGCCAGGAGUAAUUUAACUUUUUAUAUAGGGAUUGGGGAAGUAAACAGGACAUAAAAAAAAGUUAACACAAAUUAGAUACACAAUACAACAAGUAAGGAAAUUUGUGUUGUUAAUUAUUUUUUUGCAGUAACAAUACUUCUUAGCAAUAAAUCUCUUACCGCUGGAAAGCCUGUUCAUUUCCCUUUUACAAGGUGCUUCGUUUGUGGUAGCUUGUGUGUGCCGUUUGUGUCUGAGUGACAACACAACCACUUUGGCUAACCUGUGAUAAAUGCUGUCUGAAGAAUGGGAUCCCAUCCCACAGCAGCGUGUGACCACACAGGAGGAGGAGGAGGUGCCAGGCGGUUGUGCCUGUGAAUGGUUCUUCUGCAUGCUGCUGAGGUCCUCGUUUGUUAAAUGAAUAAAGUUUUAAACUGCCA